UCAGCGCCCGGUCGUCACGGCAACUGCGGUAGUGGUAAACCGUACGGCUCUGCAUCAUCAGUUCGCAUCCCCGGCGAACCCCGAUACGGUACGCUGCCAGCAGAUAUUCCACGGCCUCACGCUUCUGCACCGGCCUC
rnacentral:sRNA from 1 species